rnacentral:tRNA from 1 species
GAGGGUAUAGCUCAAGUGGCAGAGCACAUGCUUAGCAUGCACAAGGUCCUGGGUUCAAUCCCUAGUAAUUCCU